rnacentral:rRNA from 1 species
GGGUUGUGAGGUUAAGCGACUAAGCGUACACGGUGGAUGCCCUGGCAGUCAGAGGCGAUGAAGGACGUGCUAAUCUGCGAUAAGCGUCGGUAAGGUGAUAUGAACCGUUAUAACCGGCGAUUUCCGAAUGGGGAAACCCAGUGUGAUUCGUCACACUAUCAUUAACUGAAUCCAUAGGUUAAUGAGGCGAACCGGGGGAACUGAAACAUCUAAGUACCCCGAGGAAAAGAAAUCAACCGAGAUUCCCCCAGUAGCGGCGAGCGAACGGGGAGCAGCCCAGAGCCUGAAUCAGUGUGUGUGUUAGUGGAAGCGUCUGGAAAGGCGCGCGAUACAGGGUGACAGCCCCGUACACAAAAAUGCACAUAUUGUGAGCUCGAUGAGUAGGGCGGGACACGUGGUAUCCUGUCUGAAUAUGGGGGGACCAUCCUCCAAGGCUAAAUACUCCUGACUGACCGAUAGUGAACCAGUACCGUGAGGGAAAGGCGAAAAGAACCCCGGCGAGGGGAGUGAAAAAGAACCUGAAACCGUGUACGUACAAGCAGUGGGAGCACGCUUAGGCGUGUGACUGCGUACCUUUUGUAUAAUGGGUCAGCGACUUAUAUUCUGUAGCAAGGUUAACCGAAUAGGGGAGCCGAAGGGAAACCGAGUCUUAACUGGGCGUUAAGUUGCAGGGUAUAGACCCGAAACCCGGUGAUCUAGCCAUGGGCAGGUUGAAGGUUGGGUAACACUAACUGGAGGACCGAACCGACUAAUGUUGAAAAAUUAGCGGAUGACUUGUGGCUGGGGGUGAAAGGCCAAUCAAACCGGGAGAUAGCUGGUUCUCCCCGAAAGCUAUUUAGGUAGCGCCUCGUGAAUUCAUCUCCGGGGGUAGAGCACUGUUUCGGCAAGGGGGUCAUCCCGACUUACCAACCCGAUGCAAACUGCGAAUACCGGAGAAUGUUAUCACGGGAGACACACGGCGGGUGCUAACGUCCGUCGUGAAGAGGGAAACAACCCAGACCGCCAGCUAAGGUCCCAAAGUCAUGGUUAAGUGGGAAACGAUGUGGGAAGGCCCAGACAGCCAGGAUGUUGGCUUAGAAGCAGCCAUCAUUUAAAGAAAGCGUAAUAGCUCACUGGUCGAGUCGGCCUGCGCGGAAGAUGUAACGGGGCUAAACCAUGCACCGAAGCUGCGGCAGCGACGCUUAUGCGUUGUUGGGUAGGGGAGCGUUCUGUAAGCCUGCGAAGGUGUGCUGUGAGGCAUGCUGGAGGUAUCAGAAGUGCGAAUGCUGACAUAAGUAACGAUAAAGCGGGUGAAAAGCCCGCUCGCCGGAAGACCAAGGGUUCCUGUCCAACGUUAAUCGGGGCAGGGUGAGUCGACCCCUAAGGCGAGGCCGAAAGGCGUAGUCGAUGGGAAACAGGUUAAUAUUCCUGUACUUGGUGUUACUGCGAAGGGGGGACGGAGAAGGCUAUGUUGGCCGGGCGACGGUUGUCCCGGUUUAAGCGUGUAGGCUGGUUUUCCAGGCAAAUCCGGAAAAUCAAGGCUGAGGCGUGAUGACGAGGCACUACGGUGCUGAAGCAACAAAUGCCCUGCUUCCAGGAAAAGCCUCUAAGCAUCAGGUAACAUCAAAUCGUACCCCAAACCGACACAGGUGGUCAGGUAGAGAAUACCAAGGCGCUUGAGAGAACUCGGGUGAAGGAACUAGGCAAAAUGGUGCCGUAACUUCGGGAGAAGGCACGCUGAUAUGUAGGUGAAGUCCCUUGCGGAUGGAGCUGAAAUCAGUCGAAGAUACCAGCUGGCUGCAACUGUUUAUUAAAAACACAGCACUGUGCAAACACGAAAGUGGACGUAUACGGUGUGACGCCUGCCCGGUGCCGGAAGGUUAAUUGAUGGGGUCAGCGCAAGCGAAGCUCUUGAUCGAAGCCCCGGUAAACGGCGGCCGUAACUAUAACGGUCCUAAGGUAGCGAAAUUCCUUGUCGGGUAAGUUCCGACCUGCACGAAUGGCGUAAUGAUGGCCAGGCUGUCUCCACCCGAGACUCAGUGAAAUUGAACUCGCUGUGAAGAUGCAGUGUACCCGCGGCAAGACGGAAAGACCCCGUGAACCUUUACUAUAGCUUGACACUGAACAUUGAGCCUUGAUGUGUAGGAUAGGUGGGAGGCUUUGAAGUGUGGACGCCAGUCUGCAUGGAGCCGGCCUUGAAAUACCACCCUUUAAUGUUUGAUGUUCUAACGUGGACCCGUGAUCCGGGUUGCGGACAGUGUCUGGUGGGUAGUUUGACUGGGGCGGUCUCCUCCUAAAGAGUAACGGAGGAGCACGAAGGUUGGCUAAUCCUGGUCGGACAUCAGGAGGUUAGUGCAAUGGCAUAAGCCAGCUUGACUGCGAGCGUGACGGCGCGAGCAGGUGCGAAAGCAGGUCAUAGUGAUCCGGUGGUUCUGAAUGGAAGGGCCAUCGCUCAACGGAUAAAAGGUACUCCGGGGAUAACAGGCUGAUACCGCCCAAGAGUUCAUAUCGACGGCGGUGUUUGGCACCUCGAUGUCGGCUCAUCACAUCCUGGGGCUGAAGUAGGUCCCAAGGGUAUGGCUGUUCGCCAUUUAAAGUGGUACGCGAGCUGGGUUUAGAACGUCGUGAGACAGUUCGGUCCCUAUCUGCCGUGGGCGCUGGAGAACUGAGGGGGGCUGCUCCUAGUACGAGAGGACCGGAGUGGACGCAUCACUGGUGUUCGGGUUGUCAUGCCAAUGGCACUGCCCGGUAGCUAAAUGCGGAAGAGAUAAGUGCUGAAAGCAUCUAAGCACGAAACUUGCCCCGAGAUGAGUUCUCCCUGACCCUUUAAGGGUCCUGAAGGAACGUUGAAGACGACGACGUUGAUAGGCCGGGUGUGUAAGCGCAGCGAUGCGUUGAGCUAACCGGUACUAAUGAACCGUGAGGCUUAACCUUACAACGCCGAAGGUGUUU